UUCAACGAGUCCAAUGGCCUGGUUUGCUGUGGUGACGUCAUUUGCCAGACCACCGUGAACUGCACAGGGCCACAAGACUCCUGCUUCUGCAGUGAAAGUGGGAUUUGUGGAUGCAUCACGAAAAAUAUUUGUGACUACCCUGCAUAUGCUGAAGUCCAGUUGGGCUUGAAUAUUGGAGUGGCGUUAAGGUGCUGCCAGAGCCUCCUGUGCAAUUCCUUGAAUACUGUUUGCAAUACGUGCUUUUCACCUUCUUCCUGGGAUACCUG